rnacentral:rRNA from 1 species
UGGUCAAGUUAUUAAGGGUGCAGGGCGGAUGCCUUGGCACUAGGAGCCGAUGAAGGACGUGAUAAGCUGCGAUAAGCUUCGGGGAGUUGCACGUAAACUUUGAUCCGAAGAUUUCCGAAUGAGGAAACUCACUUAGAGUAAUGUCUAAGUAUCAUUAAGUGAAUACAUAGCUUAAUGAGGGGAACUCAGGGAACUGAAACAUCUAAGUACCUGAAGGAAGAGAAAGAAAUUCGAUUCCGUAAGUAGCGGCGAGCGAACGCGGAUUAGCCCAAACCAAUAAAGUUUUCUUUAUUGGGGUUGCGGACAUAUCAUAACGAAGAGGUAUCGUAAUUGAAGAGGUUUGGAAAGACCCACCACAGAAGGUAAUAGUCCUGUAUGUUAAACGAGAAGACUUUAGAUAUGAUCCAGAGUAC